rnacentral:rRNA from 1 species
UCUAAGUAUAAACGAUUGAAUCGUGAAACCGCGAAUGGCUCAUUAUCACAGCUAUACUUUACUUGAUCUUGACACAAUCCUACUUGGAUAACUGUGGUAAUUCUAGAGCUAAUACAUGCAUUAAAGCUCUGACCUCACGGGAAGAGUGCAUUUAUUAGAACAAAACCAAGCGGCUUCGGCUGUUUCUGGUUGACUCAUAGUAACUGAGCUGAUCGCAUGGUCUUGCACCGGCGACGUGUCUUUCAAGUAUCUGCCGUAUCAACUUUCGAUGGUAGUGUAUCUGACUACCAUGGUGAUCACGCGUAACGGAGAAUAAGGGUUCGGCUCCGGAGAGUUCGCCUGAGAAAUCGCGAACACAUCUAAGGAAGGCAGCAGGCGCGAAAAUUACCCACUCUCAGCACGAGGAGGUAGUGACGAAAAAUAACGAGACCGUUCUCUUAUGAGGCCGGUCAUCGGAAUGGGUACAAUUUAAACCCUUUAACGAGUAUCUAUGAGAGGGCAAGUCUGGUGCCAG